CACACAGAUAUACACCAAUACAAAAACCUCACAAUAGAAACCUGAAAAAAAAAAUUGUUCCGUAUGCAGAGAAAAACUGAUACAAAACCAUGUUUAUUCAAAAAACAUCAGGUUUUUGUUAAAGAAGUCAGUAGAGAUGUAACACUGUGAUUAUGUUUUUGACUACUGGGGAGAUGGAACUAAAGUUACUGUUGUUCCAGGCGGCCCUGAUGUCCCUCCGACUCUGUCUAUUUUGAGUCCCCUGAAGGAUUCUCGCUACCCCCCGAACACAGCAGAUGAACUUGGUCCAGAUGUCUGUCUGGUCACAGAUUUCCGUCCGAAGGGGGACGACGUAAAUCUGAAUGUGAAAGGUGGUCAGGUCAACGUCAGCACAGAUAAAGCUGUUCUGUCAAACAACACCUACGUGUUUGUUGCCUACAGCAAUGCAACCAUCCACUCCUGUGACAUGAACGGAAAGUUCAGCAACAACGAAGCUGAUGAUGCAUGUAGAAGCAUUUAUCCAGAAAAAGCCAAGCUGAACUUCUACCUGCUGCUGAUGAACGGAGUCCGGGUGGUUUUCACCAAAGCUCUGGCCUUCAGCACCGUCCUCACCAUCAGAGGUCUGCUCUUCUGAGGACAGCUUACAUGGAAAAGAAAGAAAAAAAGACAGAUUUAAAGUUGGACGAAAAUGAAAGAAACAAAAUAUAUAUAAUAAACAAAUAUUUUAUUUUACCUCUGUACAGACAUAUAUUUUAAGUUCAGAUGAUAAAUGCAAAAGGAAAUUUGUCAUGUAAAAACCAUAAAAGAAAAAAAAUUAUAUGAUUCCAACUUUGAAUUUAGAAAUUACUCAGUCAAAAUUAAGAAUAUUUAAGUCUUAUUUCAUUUAAUAAGAUGAUAAAAAAAAAAUAAAAAUAAUAAUCCAAAUAUUUGUCUAUUUCUUUUGCCUUAGCUUCAGAUUGGCACACAAAGUAAUAUGUGCCAAGUCGAUAAAUAUUUACAAAAGAAACAAAUCAUAUUUAGCAAUGUAAACAUAUUUUAAACAUUUAAAUCUGUGUGGAUAUAGUUUAAUACUCAUUGAUGACAAAUCUGAUGAUUUUAAUUUUACAGAUGUUUUUUCUGAUAUGUGUUUAUUGAAAUAGAGUGUAAAAUAGUUUUAAAAUAAUCCUCCAAGCUACUUUAGUCUUUUCAUAGUACAACAUCAGAUUAUUCUUUAGUAUUUUAUUCAGCUACUUUGUUUUAUUAAAUA